AGAGUUUGAUCCUGGCUCAGAGCGAACGCUGGCGGCAGGCCUAACACAUGCAAGUCGAGCGCCGUAGCAAUACGGAGCGGCAGACGGGAGAGUAACACGUGGGAACGUGCCCUUUGGUUCGGAACAACACAGGAAAACUUGUGCUAAUACCGGAUAAGCCCUUACGGGGAAAGAUUUAUCGCCAAAGGAUCGGCCCCCGCGUCUGAUUAGCUUGUGGGUGAGGUAACGGCUCACCAAGGGCUACCAAUUCAGUAACCGGGUCUGAAGAAGGAUUGAUUCAGCCCUCCACUGGGGGAACCUGAAGAACACCGGGCCCCCAGAAACUCCCCUACCGGGGGAAGGGGCAGCCAGUUGGGGGGAAAAUAUUUUGGAACAAUUGGGGGCGCCAAGCCCUGAAUUCCAGCCCAUGCCCGCGUGGGGUGAUGAAGGCCCUAGG
rnacentral:rRNA from 1 species